rnacentral:lncRNA from 1 species
CUGUGUGAAUUUUUUCAAGAGAUAUUGAUCUAUGAUACAUCAUACAAGACUUAGAAAGUGAAGUUCUAGGUUCAUAUCUAAUUUUAUUGUUUAUUUAAGUUAAUAUGAUUGAAAUCUUUCUAUUCUCAAAGAAUCACAAAUUCUGACAUAAUUAUUUUUAUAUCAGUGUCAACCUCUACUUGAUGUUGAAGGUUUCAUAUAUUUCUGUGGG